UACGUAGGGGGCAAGCGUUGUCCGGAUUUAUUGGGCGUAAAGAGCUCGUAGGCGGUUUGGUAAGUCUGGUGUGAAAUCUCCACGCUCAACGUGGAGGGGCCACCCGAUACUGCCAUGACUGGAGUCCGGUAGAGGAGUGUGGAAUUCCCGGUGUAGAGGUGAAAUUCGUAGAUAUCGGGAGGAACACCGGUGGCGAAGGCGGCGACCUGGGUCGAGACUGACGCUGAGGCGCGAAAGCGUGGGGAGCAAACAGG
rnacentral:rRNA from 1 species